rnacentral:rRNA from 1 species
AUUGAACGCUGGCGGAAUGCUUUACACAUGCAAGUCGAACGGCAGCACGGGUGCUUGCACCUGGUGGCGAGUGGCGAACGGGUGAGUAAUACAUCGGAACGUACCCAGUCGUGGGGGAUAACGUAGCGAAAGUUACGCCAAUACCGCAUACGUCCUGAGGGAGAAAGCGGGGGGCCGUAAGGCCUCGCGCGAUUGGAGCGGCCGAUGGCGGAUUAGCUAGUUGGUGGGGUAAAAGCCUACCAAGGCGACGAUCCGUAGCGGGUCUGAGAGGACGGCCCGCCACACUGGAACUGAGACGCGGUCCAGACUCCUACGGGAGGCAGCAGUGGGGAAUUUUGGACAAUGGGCGAAAGCCUGAUCCAGCCAUUCCGCGUGAGUGAAGAAGGCCUUCGGGUUGUAAAGCUCUUUCGGCAGGGAAGAAACGGCUUGGGAUAAUACCCCGGGCUAAUGACGGUACCUGAAGAAGAAGCACCGGCUAACUACGUGCCAGCAGCCGCCGUAA